GCGCUCGCUUCAGCAGCACAUAUACUAAAAUUGGAACGAAUCAGAGGAGAUUAGUGUGGCCCCUGUGCCAAACAAACAAACAAAAAACCUGUAGUGUGAGCAACCUUU